UACGUAGGGUGCAAGCGUUGUCCGGAAUUAUUGGGCGUAAAGAGCUCGUAGGCGGUUUUUCGCGUCUGCUGUGAAAACUCGGGGCUUAACUCCGGGCCUGCAGUGGGUACGGGCAGACUAGAGUGCGGUAGGGGAGACUGGAAUUCCUGGUGUAGCGGUGAAAUGCGCAGAUAUCAGGAGGAACACCGGUGGCGAAGGCGGGGCUCUGGGCCGUAACUGACGCUGAGGAGCGAAAGCGUGGGGAGCGAACAGG
rnacentral:rRNA from 1 species